rnacentral:rRNA from 1 species
AGAGUUUGAUCCUGGCUCAGGACGAACGCUGGCGGCGCGCUUAACACAUGCAAGUCGAACGAGCGAGAGAGAGCUUGCUUUCUUGAGCGAGUGGCGAACGGGUGAGUAACGCGUGAGGAACCUGCCUCAAAGAGGGGGACAACAGUUGGAAACGACUGCUAAUACCGCAUAAGCCCACGGCUCGGCAUCGAGCAGAGGGAAAAGGAGCAAUCCGCUUUGAGAUGGCCUCGCGUCCGAUUAGCUAGUUGGUGAGGUAAUGGCCCACCAAGGCGACGAUCGGUAGCCGGACUGAGAGGUUGAACGGCCACAUUGGGACUGAGACACGGCCCAGACUCCUACGGGAGGCAGCAGUGGGGAAUAUUGCACAAUGGGGGAAACCCUGAUGCAGCGACGCCGCGUGGAGGAAGAAGGUCUUCGGAUUGUAAACUCCUGUUGUUGAGGAAGAUAAUGACGGUACUCAACAAGGAAGUGACGGCUAACUACGUGCCAGCAGCCGCGGUAAAACGUAGGUCACAAGCGUUGUCCGGAAUUACUGGGUGUAAAGGGAGCGCAGGCGGGAAGGCAAGUUGGAAGUGAAAUCCAUGGGCUCAACCCAUGAACUGCUUUCAAAACUGUUUUUCUUGAGUAGUGCAGAGGUAGGCGGAAUUCCCGGUGUAGCGGUGGAAUGCGUAGAUAUCGGGAGGAACACCAGUGGCGAAGGCGGCCUACUGGGCACCAACUGACGCUGAGGCUCGAAAGUGUGGGUAGCAAACAGGAUUAGAUACCCUGGUAGUCCACACUGUAAACGAUGAUUACUAGGUGUUGGAGGAUUGACCCCUUCAGUGCCGCAGUUAACACAAUAAGUAAUCCACCUGGGGAGUACGACCGCAAGGUUGAAACUCAAAGGAAUUGACGGGGGCCCGCACAAGCAGCGGAGUAUGUGGUUUAAUUCGACGCAACGCGAAGAACCUUACCAAGUCUUGACAUCCCUUGACAGGCAUAGAAAUAUGUUUUCUCUUCGGAGCAAGGAGACAGGUGGUGCAUGGUUGUCGUCAGCUCGUGUCGUGAGAUGUUGGGUUAAGUCCCGCAACGAGCGCAACCCUUAUGGUUAGUUACUACGCAAGAGGACUCUGGCCAGACUGCCGUUGACAAAACGGAGGAAGGUGGGGAUGACGUCAAAUCAUCAUGCCCUUUAUGACUUGGGCUACACACGUACUACAAUGGCGUUAAACAAAGAGAAGCGAGACCGCGAGGUGGAGCAAAACUCAGAAACAACGUCCCAGUUCGGACUGCAGGCUGCAACUCGCCUGCACGAAGUCGGAAUUGCUAGUAAUCGUGGAUCAGCAUGCCACGGUGAAUACGUUCCCGGGCCUUGCACACACCGCCCG